GUGCAGACCUUCUCCAGCUAAUCUCAGGAAGGCUGAAGUUUUUAGACGGCUACCCUUCAUAUUUAGGGAGAGAAUAUAACCAUGUGGAAAGUCUAGUCUUCAUGUGGAACAUCUGUUACGAAGAAAUUCUACUUGGAAAGCUUGUCUGCUCUAUUAACCCAUCCCUGUUGCUCACUUGGAAGAAGAGGGCCUUCACUUUCCACUGUAAGAAGAAGGUCUUCUGUUGCUCUGAACGCUUCUGUUUAGAGACCUUUCUUCACUGUCCCCAAGGGAUGUUUUCUAAGCCAAGUUCACCUACGAUCUCACACACGCGCUGUUGAGGUGUAAUGUUACAGACAUGGUGAUUUACAACGCAGAUAUAUUACCCCAGAUCCUCCAGGUGUUGGAGAAGGGCCCUCCUGACAACUUGAUUCCGUGUCUUCCUCUGUUGAAUUGGAUUUAUCUUACCUUCUUUCACUAAGCCCCCGGGGCUCUUUAUCUCUCAGCUCAUCUGAAUUUUUUCCCCAGGUAAGGUCUCAUUCUUGCAGGGCCAGGUGGACACAAACUCAGCCAGGGUCAGUAACGGAAAGUAUUCAAACUGCACCCACUCCCCCUCAGUGGCAAGACUCCCGUGCUGCCUGGCUUCCAUGAAGAAUCUGGCACAGAAUACUGAACUUGCGGACAAAGCCCUGUGUGCUCUGUGACUUCACAGUCUGCCUAGCAGACAGAGAAGCACGCCCCCAUCCCAUCUUAAAAGCUUGUUAAAGCUAAGUGCAGUUCUCAAGACUUUAAAGUGUUUAUCUGUGAGUCUCACUCAACCCUAAAUUAAAGACCUUGUCCUCAAGCAACUGGAGAUACGGAAGGCAUUUCUUUGUAGGAAGACCCGAUUUUUGUUCCCCAGGGCUUUUUUAUAGGCAACGUACCUAUAAAGAGUCCAGAUUAUAUACUUUGGAAAGCUUUCAAUGAUAAGAAGCAAUGUUUUUGAACUUCCCAUUAUGAACUAGAAAUAAUAUUUUCACUGAAACAAAAA
rnacentral:lncRNA from 1 species